UACGUAGGGCGCAAGCGUUAUCCGGAAUUAUUGGGCGUAAAGAGCUCGUAGGCGGUUUGUCGCGUCUGCUGUGAAAACGCGAGGCUCAACCUCGCGCCUGCAGUGGGUACGGGCAGACUGGAGUACUGCAGGGGAGACUGGAAUUCCUGGUGUAGCGGUGGAAUGCGCAGAUAUCAGGAGGAACACCGGUGGCGAAGGCGGGUCUCUGGGCAGUAACUGACGCUGAGGAGCGAAAGCGUGGGGAGCGAACAGG
rnacentral:rRNA from 1 species